rnacentral:lncRNA from 1 species
GUAAUCAAUUGACACAAUUACCAAAAGAUGACUAUAUUCUUAAUUUUUUUCUAUUAUGGUUAUCUCACAAAUUCUCCCUAAUUUUUAUUGGUAACUGCGAGAUUGUAGACUCGCUCUCUUUCUCUCUUCGUAGAUGCAUGGUGACAAAGCAAACAGUUAGCAAUUUAAAACUCAAUCAUCUUCACAGACUUGGUAGUAUGAGAGCAUGUGUAUAAGUAGUAGAUACAAAUACAAUGGGAUAGUUAAUCCCCUAGCGACGUGUGAUAGCUGUCUCAGGAGCUAAAUAAGACUUAGCAGGAAUCUGAUCGUUUAUCUAUCGAGAGAGAGCCCCCUAACUCAUGGGAGCAUCUUCCCC